GCAAGUCGAACGGUAAGGCCUUUCGGGGUACACGAGUGGCGAACGGGUGAGUAACACGUGGGUGAUCUGCCCUGCACUUUGGGAUAAGCCUGGGAAACUGGGUCUAAUACCGAAUAUGACCAUGGACUUCACGGUUUGUGGUGGAAAGCUUUUGCGGUGUGGGAUGGGCCCGCGGCCUAUCAGCUUGUUGGUGGGGUAAUGGCCUACCAAGGCGACGACGGGUAGCCGGCCUGAGAGGGUGACC
rnacentral:rRNA from 1 species